rnacentral:tRNA from 1 species
GGUGGGGUGGCUCAGUGGCAGAGCAUCUGCCCAUCACGCUCAUGGCUCUGGGUUCCAUUCCCAGCAUCG